GACGAAUGUUGGCGGCGUGCCUAAUACAUGCAAGUAGACCGCAGUUGCGAACGGGUGAGUAACGCGUAGGUAACUGCCUCAUAGCGGGGGCUAACUAUUGGAAACGAUAGCUAAUACCGCAUACUGCGAGCUGGACCUGCGUUGUAUUAGCUAGUUGGCGAGGUAAAGGCUCACCAAGGCGACGAUACAUAGCCGACCUGAGAGGUUGUUCGGCCACACAGGGACGGAGACGCGGCCGAGACUCCUACGAGAGGCAGCGGUUGGUAAUGUUCGGCGAUGGACGAAAGUCUGACCGGGCAACGCCGAGAGAUGGAAGAACGUUUUCGGAUCGUAAAGCUCGGUUGAGAGAGAAACGGAGACUAGCCAGAGAUGGACGGCUAACUACGUGCCAGCAGCCGCGGUAAUAC
rnacentral:rRNA from 1 species